rnacentral:rRNA from 1 species
UCCGUAUAACAAUACUCCGAGAACUGAAAGGCUUUUUGAAGUCUUCGGAUGGAUAGAAGAACCCCUGAUGCCGUCGAGCCAAGAAAAGUUUCUAAGUUUAGCUAAUGUUGCCCGUACCGUAAACCGACACAGGUGGGUGGGAUGAGUAUUCUAAGGCGCGUGGAAGAACUCUCUUUAAGGAACUCUGCAAAAUAGCACCGUAUCUUCGGUAUAAGGUGUGGUUAGCUUCGUACUAGGAUUUACUCCGAAAGCGAAGAAACUUACAACAAAGAGUCCCUCCCGACUGUUUACCAAAAACACAGCACUCUGCUAACUCGUAAGAGGAUGUAUAGGGUGUGACGCCUGCCCGGUGCUCGAAGGUUAAUUGAUGGGGUUAGCAUUAGCGAAGCUCUUGAUCGAAGCCCGAGUAAACGGCGGCCGUAACUAUAACGGUCCUAAGGUAGCGAAAUUCCUUGUCGGUUAAAUACCGACCUGCAUGAAUGGCGUAACGAGAUGGGAGCUGUCUCAAAGAGGGAUCCAGUGAAAUUGUAGUGGAGGUGAAAAUUCCUCCUACCCGCGGCAAGACGGAAAGACCCCGUGGACCUUUACUACAGCUUGACACUGCUACUUGGAUAAGAAUGUGCAGGAUAGGUGGGAGGCUUUGAGUAUAUGACGCCAGUUGUAUAUGAGCCAUUGUUGAGAUACCACUCUUUCUUAUUUGGGUAGCUAACCAGCUUGAGUUAUCCUCAAGUGGGACAAUGUCUGGUGGGUAGUUUGACUGGGGCGGUCGCCUCCCAAAUAAUAACGGAGGCUUACAAAGGUUGGCUCAGAACGGUUGGAAAUCGUUCGUAGAGUAUAAAGGUAUAAGCCAGCUUAACUGCAAGACAUACAAGUCAAGCAGAGACGAAAGUCGGUCUUAGUGAUCCGGUGGUUCUGUGUGGAAGGGCCAUCGCUCAAAGGAUAAAAGGUACCCCGGGGAUAACAGGCUGAUCUCCCCCAAGAGCUCACAUCGACGGGGAGGUUUGGCACCUCGAUGUCGGCUCAUCGCAUCCUGGGGCUGGAGCAGGUCCCAAGGGUAUGGCUGUUCGCCAUUUAAAGCGGUACGCGAGCUGGGUUCAGAACGUCGUGAGACAGUUCGGUCCCUAUCUGCCGUGGGCGUAAGAAGAUUGAAGAGAUUUGACCCUAGUACGAGAGGACCGGGUUGAACAAACCACUGGUGUAGCUGUUGUUCUGCCAAGAGCAUCGCAGCGUAGCUAAGUUUGGAAAGGAUAAACGCUGAAAGCAUCUAAGCGUGAAGCCAACUCUAAGAUGAAUCUUCUCUAAGCUCUCUAGAAGACUACUAGUUUGAUAGGCUGGGUGUGUAAUGGAUGAAAGUCCUUUAGCUGACCAGUACUAAUAGAGCGUUUGGCUUAUCUUUAAUAAAGCAU